rnacentral:lncRNA from 1 species
AGGAGGGUCAUGCUACUAGUAGCAGAGCAGUGAGCACUCACUCCUAGUUCCCCAGGUACAACGUACCCACAGAGGCUUUCCUUUUUUUCUUUCUUUCUUUUCUUCUCUUUUUUUUCCCCAAGUUGCUCUAUGGAUGUAAGCGUUGAGGGUGUGUGUCCAUACUUGGGACUACAGGGAGACACAGAAAGCAUCCAGCAAGCUGUGCAGUUUUGAUUGCAGCCCCCAGGACAAGGUUGGAGCAGUACCUGGGGCUUGUCUGCAGAUUCUACUUUAUUCUAGCACAUGAAGGCUCCCAUAGGUGUUGGAACUGAUAGAGUGGGUAAAGCUUGCUAAUAAGUAGGGUGGUUGGAAGCAAACUGCUGUAGCCUUCUCUUACAGUGAAGAUUUGACACACCUGAAAGAAGAUUAUAUCUAAAGAGGUAGCAGGUGAGCUUGUUGCCUGUUCUCAGCUGGAAUCUAAGGAUAAGGAGAGACCUGAUUUUUUUCAAUUUCCCCUUUAAACAGAACUUUUUAUCUGAUUCUUUAGCACAGACACGGAACCAUAUAUUUGAAAGAGAUGGAGGGAUAUGUUCUGGUCUUCUGUGUGUACGUUCUGUUCAGAACAUUCUGAGAGCUCAGAAUAUCAUCAGAGCCAGAGGGAGACAUAAAAGAAAUAUACUGAAGACAGGAGAAUGAGACAUGCCGCAGAAGAAACAGUGUGGCUGCCCUUGAAUGCCUGGUGAUGGCAUAUUGUGCUUUGCUGUCAGUCUGUUGACUCAUGUACACUUCAAAAGAGCUCUCAGGAGAGGCAGUUAUGCGAGUCACUGCCUGAUGCACUGUAAAUCAUGGCUGUGCUUUUUUUGUUAUUUGAACGGGCGUCGAGUGAGCCUAAUGCUGUUUUGAAAGAUCAUCUAAUGUCAUUGGAACUCAGGGAUUUCAAUGAAUGUGGGGCAGAGGAUGAGGGAAUGCUCGCCCUCAUGGACAAGAUUAGUCAGAGCUACUUCAGGAUUGUCUGGUCAUCUCUUCUUUAGUAUCAUGUGCUGCAGGUCAAAGCAAAUAAAGCGGUAAGAAUCAGGAGCUUCAUGGAGGUUAUGCUGAACAGAGGUGUAUCCAAAAUCUUAGUGUGCUCUCGCCUCCAUGUCCUCUCUCUUGAAGCUGUACCCCUGAGAUUUGAUGAAAAAGCAGGACAAGAGCUUUAGAGAGUUGGUGCAGGGAUUGGUACUGUCAGAUGCUUUUUUGUCAUCGCCUUUCCUCUUAAGAACAAACAAAUGCUUCCCCUCUAAGGAGUAAGGCAGUAAAGGGAUACCAGGUGGCACUGAAUAAACUGUGAAAUGCUGCAGUCAUAAUGCUGUAGUAGAACCACAUCAGGAAUUUUAGUCCAGAUUCCUAAGGAAAGAACUUUUUACACUGUGUUGCUUUCGUCUGAUGGUCUGCAGGAUAUCUCCAUAAUUUUAAAAGUAGGCCAGCUUCAAAUAAACUUUGCAGAAUGGAAGAGGCUUGUUGUUCUUAAUGAAGAUGAUUGAGGGGGUCAAGGUGAAUCUCCCCACAGAAGGAAAGGUUUAGAUUGGAGUUCAGGUGUGUUCUUAGUGACAAACCAACAAGGGGGAAAUUUUGAAUGCCCUGUGUACAAGAAAAACUUUGAACAAAGUUUGCAUUCUAGUUGAAAUGGGAUGGUAAAAACAUGAGAUGCAAAGCUAUAGGUAACUCUGAAAAGCAUUUUACUUUCUCUGUUUGUAAAGUUGAAAUUGUGCUGCUUACAGUUACAAACUGGAAAUUCAGAGCACAGAACCAACUAUGUAAAGACUUGCAGAACCAUAUUAAACCACAAUAUCGAAGACAAAGAUUAUUUCUGAACCUCUGAUGCUGUCAAUUCAGGAGUUCCCAGGGCUAUCUGGUUUGCCUUUUGCUUUGCUGCUGAGAAUGGAAGAAAUCACAUCUCUUGAGACUGCUGCGGGGAUUGUUUUGAGCUAUUUUAAAAUUCACAGGAGAUAGUUAAGAAAUUCACUUUCUUAUGUUGCUUUACAAAACCUAGGAGUAUUAUUUUAGAUGUCCUUCAGUGAUACUGUGAUUUCCAUAUACUUUAAGAAUAG